rnacentral:rRNA from 1 species
AGUGAACGCUGGCGGUAGGCCUAACACAUGCAAGUCGAACGGCAGCACAGUAAGAGCUUGCUCUUACGGGUGGCGAGUGGCGGACGGGUGAGGAAUACAUCGGAAUCUACUUUUUCGUGGGGGAUAACGUAGGGAAACUUACGCUAAUACCGCAUACGACCUACGGGUGAAAGCAGGGGAUCUUCGGACCUUGCGCGAUUGAAUGAUCCGAUGUCGGAUUAGCUAGUUGGCGGGGUAAAGGCCCACCAAGGCGACGAUCCGUAGCUGGUCUGAGAGGAUGAUCAGCCACACUGGAACUGAGACACGGUCCAGACUCCUACGGGAGGCAGCAGUGGGGAAUAUUGGACAAUGGGAGCAAGCCUGAUCCAGCCAUACCGCGUGGGUGAAGAAGGCCUUCGGGUUUUAAAGCCCUUUUGUUGGGAAAGAAAAGCAGCAGGUUAAUACCCCGCUGUUCUGACGGUACCCAAAGAAUAAGCACCGGCUAACUUCGUG